AGAGCUCGUAGGUGGUUCGUCACGUCGGAUGUGAAACUCUGGGGCUUAACCCCAGACCUGCAUUCGAUACGGGCGAGCUUGAGUAUGGUAGGGGAGUCUGGAAUUCCUGGUGUAGCGGUGGAAUGCGCAGAUAUCAGGAGGAACACCAAUGGCGAAGGCAGGACUCUGGGCCAUUACUGACACUGAGGAGCGAAAGCGUGGGGAGCGAACAGGAUUAGAUACCCUGGUAGUCCACGCCGUAAACGGUGGGCACUAGUUGUGGGGACCUUCCACGGUCUCUGCGACGCAGCUAACGCAUUAAGUGCCCCGCCUGGGGAGUACGAUCGCAAGAUUAAAACUCAAAGGAAUUGACGGGGCCCCGCACAAGCAGCGGAGCAUGCGGCUUAAUUCGACGCAACGCGAAGAACCUUACCAAGGCUUGACAUAUACAGGAAUAUGGCAGAGAUGUCAUAGCCGCAAGGUCUGUAUACAGGUGGUGCAUGGUUGUCGUCAGCUCGUGUCGUGAGAUGUUGGGUUAAGUCCCGCAACGAGCGCAACCCUCGUUCUGUGUUGCCAGCAUUUAGUUGGGGACUCACAGGAGACUGCCGGGGUUAACUCGGAGGAAGGUGGGGAUGACGUCAAAUCAUCAUGCCCCUUAUGUCUUGGGCUGCACGCAUGCUACAAUGGCUGGUACAAACGGCUGCAAUACCGCAAGGUGGAGCGAAUCCGAGAAAGCCAGUCUCAGUUCGGAUUGGGGUCUGCAACUCGACCCCAUGAAGUCGGAGUUGCUAGUAAUCGUAGAUCAGCAACGCUACGGUGAAUACGUUCCCGGGGCUUGUACACACCGCCCGUCACGUCACGAAAGUCGGUAACACCCGAAGUCAGUGGCCCAACCGCAAGGAGGGAGCUGCCGAAGGUGGGAUCGGUGAUUGGGACGAAGUCGUAACAAGGUAGCCGUACCGGAAGGUGCGGCUG
rnacentral:rRNA from 1 species